rnacentral:misc_RNA from 1 species
GGUGGGAGCGAGCCUGCUCGCGAUGGCGUCGGCACAUCCAGCAUCUAUGCAAGCUGACCCACCGUAAUCGCGAGCAGGCUCGCUCCCACA